rnacentral:lncRNA from 1 species
GAAUAUACUAAUAAUAAGAAUUUCCCAUAGGAGGGCUGAGUCCCACAAUUUCAUUUAUUUUUUUGAUGAUUGGGCAUCAUUCAGCAUUCCACGCUAGAUGCCAUGAGGAUUAAAAAGUCAGAGGGCGUGACAAUUGACCCUAAAACCCUCCUCAUCUUCUCCUUCUCUCCCUUUGUGAUUUCAAAAGUCGAUGGUACUGCUCAGUUGCCUUCAUCAGAGUCGCCGUCACUGUCGUUACAUGUGUUGGUCGGACUUGCAAAACUUCAGUGAAACGAGCAAAUGAUAUACAAUCAUUACAAAGUGACAAUCAUAAAUAUGGUAUUAAUUUUCACAUACACUAAACCAUUUCGCUAGAAUUGGCAAAAAGACAUUCGGUCAUUCACUUAUAUCAAUAAGGUGAAGAUGAGUCAAAGAACACCUAUAUCAAUCUUUGAUCUAAUCAGAAAAUGGUGAUUUAGUCAGAGAAGGCAAAGAGAAAAACUGCAAAAUCUUUAAAAAAUUAAUUUGUAGGAGAGAGGAAUUCGCAAACCUUAGAAUUUUGAGCCUUUGAUUCUUGUCGAUACCUGAUUAAUGGUAUAAUCGGAGGCCAAAUAAAAGUUCAGCACGAUGAGAUCGUUUGAUUGUCACCUUGCUCUCGUUGAACAAUAGCUGGAAUCUCAAUUGAUAGUGUUGAAGGCAAUACCAUCCGCCAUGGUAGCGACGACAAUAGAUAUGUGGAGUACACUAAUUCCUACAUCUUUGUUGUUGUGGUGGUGGACAACAAUAACAUUAGAUCUAAGAUUUUCGACUCUUCAAUUUUUCAGCUUUU